UCACCACCACUUCACAGCUGAGCUGAAAGCAAAAGCAGUCGUAAGCAGGCGAAGCGGAGCAAAGCAGUAAGCAGCUAGCACUGUUCGAUUCGCUAAGCUAAGCAGAUUGAAAUUUACCAGCACGAGCUCCCAUGGCCAGCUUCGCCGCCCAGCUCCUGGACGUGUUAUACGACCUCGUCGAGCGAGUCGCCGGCUACAGCGCCCGCGCCGAGGACGACAAGGCGCAUGCAGAUCUACAGAAGCGCACCAUGUUGGCAACUACGGAGGCUUUCCGGACAGAGGAAGUUGUCGAGAUCCGGUCCAGAAAUCACCCGGAUGUAUCAGGAGGGUCAGGCGCACAGGUCAACAUGGAUGGUAUGUAGAGCUAGCCUCUACGUACGGUAGAGAUAUACAUAACGGCCGUGUGAUUUGGCAGAGCCUCCAGAUGCUGCGGCGCCUGCUGGUGUGUUCAGAACUUCAAAUAACAUAAGCUGGUGUGUGUGUGUGCCCCAGUAAUGUUUCAGUUUGUUACAAUGUCCUUAAUUACUAUCGUAUCUUGCUAAUUGCAAUGUUAACUUCCUGAUCGAGUUUUGUGUGUA